rnacentral:lncRNA from 1 species
UAAACAGCACAGAAGGUUCCCACGCAGGCAACCCUCUCUGCAGGGGAGAAAGACUAUGACCAGGCACACAAAGGCAUCAGCCAGGGGUGUACUGAGGAGUUUUCCAGAGGCCACAGAAUGCAUGCUAUCACAACAGACAGAAAACAGAAGCAAAGAGGAGAAUCCAGAUGUCUUCUAUUAAGCCAGGCAUUAAAGAGACUUGCAGAAAUGUG